AACGCAGUCCCAUUUUUGACCAAAAAUCACAGCCUUGAAAUCAAAUUUCUAGGGUUUCUUUUGCUAGCAGCCGAGCCACCAUUGUUUUGGUGAUCAACAAUAUGCAAACAGUACCCAUCCUCCCCGUUGAAGGCGCUCGAUCAUGCCUAGAAAAAUUUAGAACGGCCGUACGGAGGAGCGACCCUGGUGACGUGGAGGCCGAGUGUGGGGAUUUCUCGUGAGAAGCUGACCUUCUAGUGCCAUUCUGGCUUAAUCCAGAAGCUUCUGGCUGCUGAGAUUCUUUUUGGGUGUAUUGGGCCUCGGGUUUGGGUUAUUAGAAUUAGGAUUUAGGAUUUAUUUAAUUGGGUCAAAUUUUAUGUAACUGGGUUAAGUUUAUAUUAAGGGAUUUUGGGUUUAAGUUAUUUUUGGCCCAAAUAUUUGUAACCGAACAUUGGACUUCUGAUUUUGGAUUCUUUAUUUGUGUGUUUUUUUAUUUUUGUUUUA